GCCUUCGGGCAUUUGGUCAAUUUGAAACGAUACAGAGAAGAUGUAAGCCACACCCCAGAGGUCCCGUGUUCGAGUCUUGUCAGAAUAUAUACUAACGUCGUCACAGUAGCAUGGCCCCUGCACUAAGGAUGACACGCUCAAUCAAAGAGAAGCUACCAAUUUUU
rnacentral:snRNA from 1 species